GCAAACAAGCUAUUGGGACCAAGAAUUAAACAAAAAGUAGGUCCACUUGGAAACUGUAAAGUGAAACAAAAUAUAUGCCAAAUUAUUUCUUUUAGGUAUAAGGGGGGUGACACUGGCUGAGACUGAGCUGGGUCUGGGGGAGCCCAGUGACCCUCCGCGUGCAAUCCUCUACCCUUAGACCAGCUCUCUCAGUUACAAGUAGCCUGCAUGAGAAGAAAUGGAGAGAAGAGAGAGAGACAUGGAUCAGAUAAUGGAGUUGAUUCUUCAAACCAGCCCCAUGGAUCUGAAACAGCUCCCAACAGAGAGAAGAUGUAGGCGGAAGAGAGACAGUCAAUUUGAAAAGGGCUUUGGUUACUCAGAGCACAGGCCUUUCAACCAGCUUCAACAAGCCUAUGCCAGGGAACUAGGAUGGAACAUGGUUAUGGGACACCUCCAUUAGAAAGGUCCAGAGACUGCCCGAAUUUGCUUGGCUUCAGCGUCAUUCAGCCUGGGAGACAGCGCAGCACUGUAAAACUAAGAUCAUCUACCCCUUGACCACCGAGUGACCUCCCAGCUUCCAAGGAGCUCCUGUCUCCAGAGAUCUCCUGAGUUGUCUUCAACUUCGUUCAGCUGCAGGUCCUGUGGGUGUGUGGAGUCCCUGCAGGGCAGCAGCUGGGGCAGGAGACAGAGGGGAUAACCGCAAGUGGUCUAGCUUGCAAACAUUUGUGGUUUGCACACAGAACGGAUGAAGCCUCUGCCCUGGCAACUUCUACCGGGUUCUAGCGGCAUGAGAGUGUGAACUGCAUCUGACUUUUCGCACUUCCCCUGCAGAGUGAGAUGCUGUUGCACCUUCAAAGGUGUUGGUGAGCUGAGCCUGAGCUGAGCUGGCUGCAUGUUGUUCCCUUGGGGAUGAAGGUGACCCUCAGGGAACAGCAACAGGGCUGCUGCCCAGGUUUGGAAUCUUCCAGGACUCAGGCUGACCUUGAACUGAGAAUGGGAUGGGUUAGUGGAGAUAUUAAAACCCAUGAUACUAACACUAAUACUCUAAGGGAAUUCAGGGGCUAAAAGGAGGUGGGAUGAAAAUAGAGUGUGGGUCCUCAUCCAGAAGAGGCUCCAGGCCCAGGUGCUCUCAUCACUCAGAGUCAGUUGUCAGGGCGGCAGUAGUCAGGGACAAUGGCCUUUGGGGAAUAGGAUAAGUCGUUCCAGUUCCGGAGGCGAGAGGGGAGAGCAGGAGAGCUUGGGGUAGGGGACAGCUCUGCAUGGUAGGCCCUAGAGCCAAAUAUCUGAGCUUGAAUCCUCACUCUGGAUACGAAUCUGGUGAGAGACCUUGGGUAAGUUUUUUAACCAGUCUGUGUCUCAGGGUCCUUAUCUCUAAAGUGGAUACAUAAUUAUACCUGCAUCAUAGGGUUGCUAUGAAGGUUAAACAAGAUUAAAAACAUAAGAUGAGCUCAGACAGCAAGAUCUAAUAGAACUUUCAAUGAUGAUGAAAUGUUUUCUGGGCUAUCCAGUUCAGAGGCCACAGAGAGCUAUUAAGCACUUGAAAUUGACUCAUGAGACAGAGAAACUGAAGUUUUAAUUGUUUUUACUUUAGUUGAAAUUUAAAAAAUUUAAGCAGCUACAUGUGACAAGUGUCUGCCUUCUUGGAUAUUGCAGGCUUAGACCAAUGCCUAGCAAGUAGGAAGUGUUCGGUGAAGGUGAGCUAUUGUAAGAAGUGUGGGUCAGGAAGACGUAAAGACCAGACCCUUCCUCCCAACCUUGGUGUUUUUGGUGAGUCCCAGAAAGAUGAAGUAAUUUGUACAAAGGCACUCAGCCGGAAAGCCUGUUGGAGUUGGAGUCUCAUCCACAGCUGGAACUACAGGCCUAAUGAGAAACCUAAGACCAUUUCUGAGUUACAUCUGAAAGACAGAACACAUUGGAGAAACAUAUCAAAAGCCUAGAACUUAGGACAGGAGUGGAAAUGACCAGGAGUAGGGUGAAAAUGGAGCCAGCCUGGGCAUGAAGCUCUGGGUCCGGCCUACAGAGGGCAGAAAACGCUAUGGAGCAUCUGGUCACCACCUUCAUUCCCUCUCUCCAUUCUAACCCCUUCCUUCCGGAAAGCUUCUGGAGAGAGCAUGGCAGCACCAAUGGAAAAAAGCUUCAUUUGUGUCAGAUCUGAGCGACCUCUUGUGGCCACAUGAACCACACUUGCCCUAAGGAGGGAAUCUUUAUUCAUACUGAACUCUUAUUCUCUGUCUACCCACCCAUCCAUCCAUCCAUCCAUCCAUCCAUCCAUCCAUCCAGGUAUUUGUAUUUCUUUUUAGCCCUUGCUGUAUGUCCAGUCCACCCCUGCCUCCAUGAGUUCAGGAAUUGAUGGGCAUAUACUGGGGUAUAGUCUUUGUGGUUCCUAAAGCAUUUUCCCCCAUGUCUCCAUUAUUCUAUUUAUCACACUGUGUUAUAUUUAUUUUAGUGUCUCUCUACACUUUUAGCAUAUGACCUCUUCAAAGGCAUCAUCUUUCCGUCUCCAGGCCUAGCACCUAAGUAUAAUUGUUAGGCAUUUUGGAGUCAGAAAGAUAUAGGUUAUAGUCCUGGCUAUGCAGCUUACUAGGCAAGGAACCUGGGGCAGUGACUUAAUCUCACUAAGCUUCAGGUUUUAAAUUUGUAACACAGUAAUAAUGACAUCCAAUUUCUAGUAUUGUGGAGAGAAUUACACUUUUGCACACACGGUAUCUUGUACAUUUGACCCUCCACCUGAAAUUGGAUUCUUUUCUGACUUCUGAGGAGCCUUAUACCACCAAUGCUAUACUACCCUUUUCUCUCUCAUGAAUUCAGUCCCCCCAUCUCAACUGAAUUUUUUCCACAGAUGCUUCUGAAAGAUGCUAAGAUCUUAAAAACUCUUCUAACCAAACCAAACCAAGCCAGCAAGCUCACCUUGAUUCCACACCCCCUGGGAGACCCAAUUCACAGCCACUCUAGUUGAGAAAGCGGUCUAUGGUAGAUCUUACCAGUUGGUAUUCCGAGACACAUUGGUGUAUCUCAAAUGGCUAUAGGUGUUAUAAAAUAUUGAUUUCCUUGGCCCUCAGAUCAUCUGUGUGGGGCCACACUUCCAGCUGGGAGCAGCCUUGUGCAACUGGCCAAUGUCCACUGAGCUAUAAUUUUCUAUAUGUUCCACAAAGCAAAAGGGUUUGGCAAGCACUGGUGUGUGUUAGCUUACUCCUCACUCGUCUUCAACCUAUUCCAAUUUGGCUUUACAUGUGAUUCCUUCACAUCUCUGGUCUAUCCAAUGGACAGGUUUUGUCCUCAUUUUUUUUGGGUGCAUGCUAAUGUCAUUACUGUGGGUUACUCCCUCCAUUUUAAACCACUGUGAAGCAGCUCUCUCCUGGUUUUCCUACCAUCUCUCCCAGUAACACCUUCCCGGGUUCCUCUACAGGCUCAGCCUCCCUCCUCUAGUGGCUAUGAAGAAGUUCUUCAUCCCCUGGCCCCAUGCUCUUUUCUCUUUUCACUUUCCCUUUUAGUGAGAGUGUUUCUCUCACUGGGAGGAUGCUCAUCUGUGCCAUGGUUUAAAUUGCUACCUCUAAUCCAAUGGAUCCCAAAUGUAUCUUUCUAGUCCAAGCCAUAAGCCUGAGUUUCAGAUAUAAGUAUCCGACUGCUUACCUGAGAGCUCCAUGUGGAGGUCUCAGAAGCUCCUUUUACUCAACCUGUCAAGGCUGAACCCAGCCUCCACCUCCCAACCUGGUCCUUUUCUGUUUCCUACAUUAUCCAACAGCACCACUAACCCUGAUUGCGAGUCAGAAACGGCUUGUCAUGACUCUGAUUUUCCCCAAAGUGCAAUAUAAAGCAGCAACAAUGUUGCCAUUCACAUGACCCUUUAAGAUAAUAGAAAUUGUGUAUUUGUGGGCACACAUAUGUGCUUUAUGUUUUUCUUGUUUAUUAUCUCCCGACUGCCUGCCCUCACUGCCAGUCUGGCUAAAUCUUGGUCAUGUCUUAGAUUUAAAAGUUUAUAUAACCCUUCCUGCAGAAACAUUUUCCUGACCACUGUCCCCCACCCAGGCUGAGUUAGGUGCAUAUACAUCCCCUGUCUGAGGAUUUAGCACUUUCCCCUGGCACUGUAAUUGCCUCUCGUGUGCAUUUCACCAAGAGACUGCAAGCUUUCUGAGUGCAAGGGCCUUUUCUGUCUUGCUCUUUGCUGUACCCUCAGUGCCUGGAAGCAGAUGUUCGACACAUAUGUGUGGGAUGGAGACUGCAAUAAGGCAGAAGCCCCCUUCUCCCUGAUCCUGCUCAUGUACAGUGACAGUCAGUGUGUUGGCUGCUAACUGCCUUCUCACCUGCCCUCCUUCAGGUCCUCUUACCCUCUCUUAUUCAUGAAUAAGUAGAUUUUAGGGUAAGGUUACUUUACUAAAGGUGGUUGGUUGACUCUGAAUUAGCUCAGUAUCCAAAUAACUCAGCACCUAUUACUUUCCUUCGUGGCAGUAGGAGAAUGUCAAUUUCUUUAGAGGGACAUCAAUUUAAUCCACGCUAUUCCUUUGAAUCAGAACUCCACACUCCCCUCUAUUUCCUUACUUUUAAUUUCAUACAUACCCACUGCAUUCCUCCUCCUCGUAUGUGCCAUCAUAGGCAGCAUGUUAAAUUUUCAGUGUGCUUCAGAUAAAACAUCCUUGAGUGGAAAUCUGUGGUUACCAAAAACAGCUUUAGAAAUUAGGGAAUGGCUCCACAGAAAGAACUGAAAAUGGCUGGAGGCUCAUUCUUGGCUGGAGAUUGAGGAAGAAACGCAUAUAUAAUUAAAGUGAUAAACUGGAUUUUUUUUGGUUCUCUGUUUACCACUGUCAAACAUAAUCUAUUUCAUGCAUUUAUAUAGAAUGCAUAAAAUAGGUCAGAUUUAAUUUUCUUCAGUUUGCUUGUUUUCUCCUCCAGUUCCUUGGGUAGAUUCGGAACCCAGAUGGAAAUGGGAAGACUAUAAAACUUGUGUCUUUAGAGGAGAUAGUGGUAAAGGAUUUAGUGCACUGGACCCUGGGAGUUGGACACUCAUGGGUGAGUGAAAGAGGCACCUAGGAAUGAGCAUGGUGUGUGAGUCAGACAGGCUUGAGUUAGAAUCCUGACUUUGCUGAAUGAGGCUGCAUGGCUUGGAUUCCCUACUCAUUCCUCUUCUCAAAGUAUUCCUUCCUGCACUCAUUCCCUCCAUUCUUUCCCACCAUCAAUUUCUCUCUCCACUGGAUUUUUUCAUCUGUAUAUGGACACGCACAAUAACAUACAAAGCAAACCAAACCUCUCCUUUGCCUCACUCAUCUUUUUCAGCUUCCUCCCCAUCUUUCUCCUCCCUUCCGUUUGGGCCAGAAGACUCACCCAUACUCACUCUUUCCUCUUCUGCAAUCCCUACUCACUCCCUAAUAGUGGGUGAUCUGGCCUUAGCUCCCACCACUUCACUGAACUGCUUUUGCUAAAGACACAAAGGCUCCUGUGUUGCUGGCUCCAACAGGGGAUUCUCUGCCCUCUGCUGACUUGGCCACUCUGCAUUUGAACUGUUGACAUUUCACGUUCCACUCUGAAAUGCUUUUCUGUCUUGGCAUGCAUCACGUCCCCCUCUCCUGAUUCUCCUGCCUCACUGGCCACUCCCUAGUCUGUUUGCUGGAUCAUCCUCUUUCUCCUGACACUAAAUGCAGGGAUGCUUAGAGUUUGCUAUUUACACUGUCUCCCUAUUCUCAUGGCUUGAAAUCAUAUGCUGGCGACACCCAAAUUUAUAUCUCCUGAUCUGGCUCAACCUCUCCCGAGGAUCUUGGACCUGAAUAUGCAAUUGCCCAGCUCUACUCCUCCACUUGGGUGGGUCACAAUCAUCUCGAACUUGACAUGUCCAAAAUAAAACUGUCCCUCUCCUCCUUGCUGGGAACGAAUGAAGAGAUGCACAAACAAUUCUGGUCAUGGUUCCUGCUCUCAUCCCCACCAGUCUUCUCAGCCAGUAAACAGCACCACCAGUUACUGAAAUCCAAACCUCAGAGUCAUACUUCACACCUAACCGAUUCCCAAGUUCUACUGAUUCCUCUUCAAAAUAUAUCUCAAAUUCACCUUAUUCUCUCCAUCUUUUCUGCCUCCAUUACCAUGGAGUUCCCCAAUGUCCUUUGCCUACAUUACUGUAAAGGCCUGUUAACUCUUUUCCUGGCCUCUGCUCCUACCCUCCUUUUUUCCGUCUUGCACAGAGCAGACACAAGUAACCCAAUCAGUGUAAACAGAUCAACGUAAAUACUCCUCUGGCUAAAGCCACCCCCACCCCCAUGUCUCUCCAUUCCACUAAGAAUAAACCAUCCCCUCUUUUAUAGCGCCCUGCAUGCCCAGCCCUGUCUCUCUGGCCUGCCCUGAGGCUAUGCCCCCUCUUACUAUGCUCUGGCUGAUGUUUCAGCUCUGUCAACACAGGGAGCACCCUUCUUAGGUGCUCUUCUCUCAUUCUCUCUCUCUCUCUCCCUUUUUUUUAAGACGGAGUCUCACUAUGUUGCCCAGGCUGGAGUGCAGUGGCGCGAUCUGGGCUCACUGCAACUUCCUCUUCCUGGGUUCAAGCUCCUUCCUCAGCCUCCCGAGUAGUUGGGGUUACAGGCGCCUGCCACCAUGCCCAGCUAAUUUUUGUAUUUUUUGUAGAGACAGGGUUUCACCAUGUUGGCCAAGUUGGUCUUGAACUCCUGACCUCAAGUGAUCCACCUUCCUUGGCCCCCCAAAGUGCUGGGAUUACAGGCGUGACUCACUGCACCUGGCCCACUCUUCCCUUUGUCUCAGAGGCUCUUCCCCUAUCCACUACCUCUCUUCCUGCCCUUUCUAAAUAAAUCAACAAAUAAGAUAAUAAAUAAAUAAAUAUUAUUAAAUAUUCAAAAGCAAAAGGCAUAUGAAAGAACAUAUGAAACAUUCGGGUACUCAUCACCCAGCAGUUUUUAAUUUGAAAAUGUUGCCAUAUUUGCUUCAAGUUUUUGUUUUUCUUAAAGAAAUAAAAUAGCGCAGUAUCAGCUGAAGUCCCACAUAUACUCCUCCCCAAUUCUAUUCUUUCUCCCUUCACAUAAGUAACCCCUGAACCUGGUAUUCAUCCCUCCCAAAUGUGUUUUCAUACUUUCAUGACAUACACCUGCACUGAUCAACAAUAUAUGGUACUGUCUGGAAUAGUCACAAUUUUAUGUAAAUGGUAUUUCACUGUGGAGAACUCUGCAACUCACCCUUUUCCUCAGCCUUGUUUGUGAGAUGGAUUCACACUAACAUGUGUGGCUCUCAUCAUCUCCACGGUGGAAUAGUAUUUCAUUGAAUAUACAAGUCUGAUUUUGUCUACUCUUCUAAUGAUGGAUAAUGGUGCCAUUUUCGAUUUUUGGCCAUUAUAAACAACGCUGCAAAGAAUAUUUGCACAUGUCUCCUUGGGCACAUGCUUGAGAGUUUCUCUAGGGUAAAAUGUUAAAAACAGAAUUUCUGAAUAAUAGAGUAUGUGUCUCUUCAACUUUACUAGAUAGUGCCAGAUUGCUCUUCAAAGUGGUUGAGCAAAUUUCCACUCCCACGGCAGUGUGGGUAAAUUUACGGAGCUCCACACUCUCACUGACCUAGCUGGUGGUGGGGAGGGGGACAGAGCAGGCACCCAGCAGUUUGCUGAGAUCUAGGGCAGCAGCGGCAGGAGGGGGACUCUGCUCUUCUCUCUCCCAGUUGUUGUGUCCAAUGGUCAAGUGGUUGGUGGUCAGGAUCCCAGAGGCACAUUUAGAGCAGUGUCUGGCACCUGAGUCACUGGGAGAUGGGGUCUUAAUCCUCCUCUCCCCUAAUUCUUUUCUAAAAUUUUAAAGCAAUACAAAACAAAAGCUUCCCUAUCUUGAACUAAAAUGAAAAAGGACCCAAUGUGCUGCAACAAACGUCUAUAUGCUUAACAUCCUAAAUAUACAUGGCUAACAUUUUCACAUAUACAUUUGCUUCAGAUGUUUUCCUUUUAGGAAAUAAAGCACAUUUCAGUUAAACUUGAAGUUCUCCUUCCUGGUCUUUUCUCUCCUUUCUUGGAGGCAGCUAAGAUUCUGAGUUUGGUAGGUGUCCAGACCAUUUAUUUGUGUAACAUAUGUAUGUAUCAACACACAAUUUAUAGUAUUGUUUGUUUUUAUUCAUAUAAAUAGUAUUUUGUACCUGCAAGUUUCUUUCC